rnacentral:rRNA from 1 species
CAAAGCACCUUACUUUAAAUACCAAAUAUGUACGCAAACCCAGGCUACUUAUUGAACCACCCUAUAAUAAUAGACAAACUAAUGCUAAAACUAGUAACAAGAAAGCCCCUCUAAGCACACCUAUGUCCCAGUAAUAGAAAACCUACUGAUAAUUAACAGACCAAAACAGGGACAACAGACAUCUGUUUUAAAUACUGUCGCCCCAACACAGGGGUGCUAUUAAGAAAGAUAAAAAGUUGUAGAAGGAACUCAGCAAUACUUAUCCCAACUGUUUACCAAAAACAUAGCCUUUAGCUAAUAUAAGUAUUAAAGGUACUGCCUGCCCAGUGAAAAUCUUAAACGGCCGCGGUAUUCUAACCGUGCAAAGGUAGCGUAAUCACUUGUCUUCUAAAUAAAGACUAGUAUGAACGGCUAAAUGAGGAUAAGCCUGUCUCCUACAACCUAUCAGUGAAACUGAUCUUUCAGUCCAAAAGCUGAAAUAUAAACACAAGACGAGAAGACCCUGUGGAGCUUAAGAUUGACUAUUAAUAAGUCAAAGACACCUAAUACAAAAUCUUAAGUUGGGGCGACUUCGGAAAAAAGAAAAACUUCCGAGUAUAGAGGCACAACCUCUAACAAAGGCAGACAUGCCAAAGAACAGGUCCGACCCAGUCAUACUGAUCAACGAACCAAGUUACCCCAGGGAUAACAGCGCUAUCUUCUUCAAGAGUCCAUAUCGACAAGAAGGUUUACGACCUCGAUGUUGGAUCAGGACACCCAAAUGGUGCAGCCGCUAUUAAAGGUUCGUUUGUUCAACGAUUAAUAGU